rnacentral:rRNA from 1 species
CAGCAGCAGCCGCGGGAAUACGGAGGGUGCAAGCGUUAAUCGGAAUUACUGGGCGUAAAGCGCACGCAGGCGGUCUGUCAAGUCAGAUGUGAAAUCCCCGGGCUUAACCUGGGAACUGCAUUUGAAACUGGCAGGCUAGAGUCUUGUAGAGGGGGGUAGAAUUCCAGGUGUAGCGGUGAAAUGCGUAGAGAUCUGGAGGAAUACCGGUGGCGAAGGCGGCCCCCUGGACAAAGACUGACGCUCAGGUGCGAAAGCGUGGGGAGCAAACAGGAUUAGAUACCCCUGUAGUCCCUGUCUCUUAUAC